UACAGAGGUCUCAACCGUUGUUCGGAUUCAUUGGGCGUAAAGGGUGCGUAGGCGGUCGCGCAAGUCGGAUGUGGAAUCUCAGGGCUCAACCCUGAAACUGCAUUCGAUACUGCGUGGCUAGAGUGCUGGAGGGGAGACUGGAAUUUACGGUGUAGCAGUGAAAUGCGUAGAUAUCGUAAGGAAGACCAGUGGCGAAGGCGAGUCUCUGGACAGCAACUGACGCUGAGGAGCGAAAGCGUGGGGAGCGAACAGG
rnacentral:rRNA from 1 species